rnacentral:rRNA from 1 species
AUUGAACGCUGGCGGCAGGCCUAACACAUGCAAGUCGAACGAGUGGCGGACGGGUGAGUAAUGUCUGGGAAACUGCCUGAUGGAGGGGGAUAACUACUGGAGACGGUAGCUAAUACCGCAUAACAUCAGAUGUGCCCAGCUGGGAUUAGCUUGUUGGUGGGUGAACGGCUCACCAAGGCGACGCUCCCUAGCGGGUCUGAGAGGUGGAGCAGCCACACUGGAACUGAGACACGGUCCAGACUCCUGCGGUAGGCAGCAGUGGGGAAUAUUGCACAAUGGGCGCAAGCCUGAUGCAGCCAUGCCGAGUGUAUGAUGAAGGCCUUCGGGUUGUAAAGUACUUUCAGCGGUGAGGCGUUACCCGCAGAAGAAGCACCGGCUAACUCCGUGCCAGCAGCCGCGGUAAUUC